rnacentral:rRNA from 1 species
GUAGGGAAUCUUCCGCAAUGGACGCAAGUCUGACGGAGCAACGCCGCGUGAGUGAAGAAGGUUUUCGGAUCGUAAAACUCUGUUGUCAGAGAAGAACAAGGGGAUCAGCAACUGGAUCCGUUUUGACGGUAUCUGACCAGAAAGCCACGGCUAACUACGUGCCAGCAGCCGCGGUAAUACGUAGGUGGCAAGCGUUGUCCGGAUUUAUUGGGCGUAAAGCGAGCGCAGGCGGUCUUUUAAGUCUGAUGUGAAAGCCCCCGGCUUAACCGGGGAAGGUCAUUGGAAACUGAGAGGCUUGAGUGCAGGAGAGGAGAGUGGAAUUCCAUGUGUAGCGGUGAAAUGCGUAGAUAUAUGGAGGAACACCAGUGGCGAAAGCGGCUCUCUGGCCUGUAACUGACGCUGAGGCUCGAAAGCGUGGGGAGCGAACAGGAUUAGAAACCCUUGUAGUCC